rnacentral:rRNA from 1 species
ACGUACACUCCUACGGGAGGCAGCAGUGGGGAAUAUUGCACAAUGGGCGCAAGCCUGAUGCAGCCAUGCCGCGUGUAUGAAGAAGGCCUUCGGGUUGUAAAGUACUUUCAGCGGGGAGGAAGGCAAUACGGUUAAUAACCGUGUUGAUUGACGUUACCCGCAGAAGAAGCACCGGCUAACUCCGUGCCAGCAGCCGCGGUAAUACGGAGGGUGCAAGCGUUAAUCGGAAUUACUGGGCGUAAAGCGCACGCAGGCGGUCUGUCAAGUCGGAUGUGAAAUCCCCGGGCUCAACCUGGGAACUGCAUUCGAAACUGGCAGGCUUGAGUCUUGUAGAGGGGGGUAGAAUUCCAGGUGUAGCGGUGAAAUGCGUAGAGAUCUGGAGGAAUACCGGUGGCGAAGGCGGCCCCCUGGACAAAGACUGACGCUCAGGUGCGAAAGCGUGGGGAGCAAACAGGAUUAGAAACCCUUGUAGUCCC